GACGAACGCUGGCGGCGUGCUUAACACAUGCAAGUCGAGCGGUAAGGCCCUUUCGGGGGUACACGAGCGGCGAACGGGUGAGUAACACGUGGGUGACCUGCCCAAUGGUAGGGAAUAACUGCGGGAAACUGCAGCUAAUACCCUAUGCUCCCUACGGGGGAAAGAUUUAUCGCCAUUGGAGGGGCCCGCGUCGGAUUAGCUAGUUGGCGGGGUAACGGCCCACCAAGGCUACGAUCCGUAGCUGGUCUGAGAGGAUGAUCAGCCACACUGGGACUGAGAUACGGCCCAGACUCCUACGGGAGGCAGCAGUGGGGAAUAUUGCGCAAUGGCCGAAAGGCUGACGCAGCGACGCCGCGUGGAGGAUGACGCCUCGGGU
rnacentral:rRNA from 1 species